UGGGGAAUAUUGGACAAUGGGGGAAACCCUGACCCAGCAACGCCGCGUGAAGGAUGAAGUAUUUCGGUAUGUAAACUUCGAAAGAAUAGGAAGAAUAAAUGACGGUACUAUUUAUAAGGUCCGGCUAACUACGUGCCAGCAGCCGCGGUAAUACGUAGGGACCAAGCGUUGUUCGGAUUUACUGGGCGUAAAGGGCGCGUAGGCGGCAAUUCAAGUCAUCUGUGAAAUCUCCGGGCUUAACUCGGAACGGUCAGAUGAUACUGCUUUGCUAGAGUGCAGAAGGGGCAAUCGGAAUUCUUGGCGUAGCGGUGAAAUGCGUAGAUAUCAAGAGGAACACCUGAGGUGAAGACGGGUUGCUGGGCUGACACUGACGCUGAGGCGCGAAAGCCAGGGGAGCAAACGGGAUUAGAUACCCCCGUAGUCCCUGAGCGGGCUGGCAAGGCGCAU
rnacentral:rRNA from 1 species